GGGGGGCAAGAUAUUUGGAAGGGAUGGAGUUGCUGUUGAAUAUGUACAGCAUCAGUCCUCAUUUCUAGGCUUUGCUCUUUUGUGAAGUUUUGUUUUGCUUUUUGAAAAAAAGAAACUACUUUGUGCACACGAGGUUUGGGGGCUUGUUCUGUCCGUCUGAUCAGAGCUGCAACGAAUGCAAUGUGCUCCAUGCCUCCUGCCUUUUUAUAAAGUAGAAGGUUUUUGUUCCUUUUUUUUACCCUCCUACCUGUCCGUUCAUUCUGAAGCUUCAUCCUGGGCAUUCACCUGUUUUCCCAACAGGAAAUUAUGCCACAGAUCUCUAACUGAUAGUUUCCAUUUUUCUACAAAGGACUGAUUGGCAAGUCUCUUGAUUAAUAGAUAAAAACUGGUAUUUUGUAAAUUUAUUUUAUAUUGAUUUGGUAUUAAUUGAUUUAAGUCAUUAUUUUUAUUAUUACAUUGCAUUGAUUUUUGGUACCAUCGAUGAGUAGAGCGUGUGUGACAGUCACACAAGUUCUCCAGUAUUGCCGUAACCAUGAACUUCAGAAGAUAGAGAGAGUUUUGGCUUUAAAAGAUGCUUUCUGAGCUUUGAGCGAGCAGGUGAGGAGACACACGAGGACCUGUGCUCUGUCAUGUCAUGAAAACCGUGAUGGCGCUAUUUUUAUUUUUUUUACACGGACUGAAGGGAGCUAAGGAGGUGAUUAUUUAUAAGACAGUGUUGUUAAAUGAUUAUGUUCAACUCUGCCACCAACGCUUUUUAUUAUGGUAAUAUGUGUACUUAUUGCCAAUACCAAAACAACUCAAGCACUAGAUGCCACUUUGCGCUGUUUACUACUUUUAAUGAAAUGGAAAGUGUGUAGGAAAGAAAAAGAGCAGGGCUAAUGAAUGCUUUACUGACUGAUUCCUAAAAGUAUUUAACAACAUCAACGGUAUUCUCUCCAACCACCCCUACAGUUAGUUAGUAGGCUUUUAGAAAGGAGGAUGCCAGAAAUAACACAAAUGUUAUAAAAAUAACACUUGAAAAGAUAGAGGCACUUGCAGAUUACAAGAUAGUACAAAAUGGGAACCAUGCCAUGGUUUUUCAUUUUUACCUCUGUUCUUAAGAUUACAUUAAACUUAAUUUAUUUCUGCGCUAACCUGCUUGAACGGUCCAAUCACAACCUUUCCUACAGACUAUCCAGUCACAUUCUUUAUAGUCGUCCAAUCACAGCCCGGCUGUCUUGACUGUUGUAGUUCAAUAGCCGCGGAGAAUACAUUUGGCUAAAUACUAAGAAAAAGGGCAAAGUGUUGAUGUUCAGUUUGUACCAAAGUAAGCCCUCCUUAUUUCUGAUUACAUUUGCCGCAUUCCCAAGUUACUUUGAGUAAUUUUUGUAGCAAUUCCCUAGAACAUACGCCUGUAAUUUACAUUUAUUGAGGCAUAGUGCAAUUAUGAAUGCUAUAAUCAUUGUACAUAAAUCUCUAUAUAUAUGGCAGCAUCUUUGUUGGCUUUGUAAUCAUUACGUUUUUGGCAGAUUGAAUGUGCGGUAUUGAAAAUAUGUAUCUAUGUAAUUGUAUUGUAUGUCUAAUGGCUAACUCAUUUUUGGAAGAAAAAGUUAUUUACAUGUUUGUUUUUGUUUCCUUCCUUCCCCUUUAAGAAGAGAAUGUAAAUUUGGUGUUUUGCCAUUUUUGUUUCUCAGCAAAGAAACAUUGUUCAGCUUCAGAACUGCAUAAAGAGGAAUAUAAUUAAACAACAACUCAUUGAUUGGUAAGCCAGUACUUAGAACUGAAUCCAAUCUACAGGGCUAAUUGUAAUAGUUUAGUUUUUAACUGGCUUCGGGAAAAGAGCACUUGUCAUAUAAGUGUAAUCACGUCACUCAUUGAUUCUUAUUUUAUUUGUAUCUUUAUCACACAGUGUCUCAGUUUAUAGUUAUAAACUUUGAGAUUUCUUAGUGUACCGCACACCUUGUUAUCCUGAGCACAUCCCCACUCCAACACCAACCACCUUAGUAUGUUUUAUUUAACAAGUAGUAAUAGAACAAGGUGGAUGGCAUCCAGGUUAAGUGUUGCUGUGGCUCAGAUUUUAUAUAAAAAUCUUCUUAAGGAUAAUAUUUAAGUAUCUAAUUGUUUGUGCAAUGCUAUCACCCUGAACACCCCCUUACAUGAACCUCCACCCUGACAGAAACUCAGUAUUACAGUCAGAGACAAGAUGACUCAACUAUUUGGCCUAAUUAGGAUGGUGCAUUUCCAGGUGUUUUUAUAUUCUUUUUUUAUUACCUGAUUUCCAUAUUGAAUGCCACCAAUUCAUUAGAAUUUACAGUUUUAUUUUGGACUUUAUUUAUGAAAUGACAACAUAGGAGAAAAUACACAACAGUUCAGAUGUACAUAUUGCCUUAUUGAAUAAGCCGUGCCUCUGAAGUCCCAUGCAAGGCACCUGUGUUUUUAUGAGAAGUGAAGCUAGUGCAGCCAAUAAUGCCCCAUUGUGCAGCUGGAAGAUUGUUUGGCUUUGGCUCGGUGUUCUCUCUUUGUUAAUCUGUGCUAUGAGAAGCCCUGGGACCAGCUUUGAAGUGUAGUUCAUGUAGUUAAUAUGACAUAAUUACAGGACAUUAUAAGAACAUCCUGAGUUGAUUUCAAAAAUAGUGUUGCAUCAGAUUCAUGUCUUUUAAUCCAUGCCACAGUGCAUUAUAAUGGAUUGAACUGCCUGAUGCGAUUAUGACUAAACAUCAGGAUGUGUAGAAUGUGACACAAUCUGGACUCUAAGGCACCACCAGACACCUGCGGAGGGGUGUUUUGGCCACAUUUGGCUAUGGUUCAGCAUCUACCAGCCACACUGGCAGUUGACUGGCUCUAACUCAGAGGUCCUGUUGUUUUCAGAUAUUUCAGCUGGCCAGUAAAAUUUCUUACAAGGAUGAUUGAUUUUGGCAGGCAACAACAAUAACCACUUAUCAACAGCAGGGCCUUAUAGGAAAACUCAUCACACAUUUCACUGAAUGUUACGACCAUGUCAAUGUGAUUCUGCUUGUUUCCAGAGGAGAUGUUUUGAAGCUGGACUAUAGUUUCAAUUUAUCAGUGUUGAUGAUCACUUGUUGUAGAGUUGCAGUAAUUGCUAACAUGUGUCCCUGCUGUUGUAAAGUGCUUAUUUACACUGACCCUGCUACAUAUAGGGAAAACUGUUGUUUAAACAAUUCACACAUUGCAUUCAACGCACUGAGCAGAGACCGCCCGGCCAUGUUUGUGAAACUCAAAAAGUAAAAAGUGAUUUUAAAAAAACAAAAGUGACUGACUUAUAUUAAUGUUUUGAUUUAGUUUUUUUACACAGUGAUGAAGGUAGAUCAUAAAAAAUGUAGUGUACUGGAAAAAAUAUACAAAUGAUAAUUGGAUUUUGUUAGAUAUAUAUGAACCACAAAGGGCUGUUUCCAAGCUUUGUGAAUGACUUGUUCAUCAUCAUUACUCUAAGGGAACACAUGUGGUUCAGGCUGAAUAUUCCCUUUAAGAGUGCCCAGACUGCUGUAAUGCAGUAUGUUCAAGAGCAGCGCAGUUUUACUUACAGUAUAUUAAGGACAGAGAGUUGAGUUUUUGAAAAACAACUUCAUAAAACUGCUCUGUCUCAGACACAUCAUCUGAUUGCUUUCCUCCCAAACAUAUGAAGUUUGAGGAUUCCUUUUGAAAUAGUGCUAUUAUGUUGAUCUCCAAACAUUGUGUAAAAUGUUUCCUGUAUCCAUAAACUGGCACUCCAACAUGUUUCUGAAUGAAACGAAGUGUUGCUUUUCAAAAGUAUGUCAACUGAUGAUUUUCAUUUUAACUUUAGUGAUACAGCUAGCAUUUCUAUAAUAUGGGUAAUUAAAUGCCUUUAGAUCUACAGCAUUACUCCGCACCACACUUCCUAUGAGAUGUCCUAAGUCAAGUUGUAUUUGAACUCUAGUUUAUAUUACAAACCUCUGUCAAGCACUGAAGAUGUAAUUAACGUGAAAACAGACGUGAUUCUUGCUAAGUAGAAUCGUCAAUUAAGGUGCCCCAAGCUUUUCACCAAGCAACAUGUUGUGUGAAGUUUCCACAGGUUCAUUUUCUCUUUUUUCCCCUGCCUAAUGUAAUUUACAUUUUUUUACAUCAUCAAAAAGAAAAGAAAAAAAGAGAGACGACAAAACACUUUAAAAAAAACAGAAGAGGAAAACUUACCUUGGCAUGGAGAGCUGACUUUGUUUACUUCCUGGUUUAAAACUCCUUAACACCACUAUGAAUGAAUUUGGUUUAUAGAUUAAAGACAACUAAUGAGGGUAAAUCAAGGGAACACAUCCAAGAAAAUUCACCGCAAUUCAUGAAAUACACUGCUUUUUAUAUCAUUGAAAGAUUGUUAUCAUUGUAAAUUAUCUCUCCCACAAAACAAAAGGUCAUAUUCUCCAUUGAAUAAGGUAGUAGAGGCAUCGUAUUGCUAUUUGCAUUGACAUAAAUACAGCAGCCGACAGAUCCUCCCCGAUCAACGCAACAGAAAAGUGACAUCUUUGUACACUGUUCCCGCUGAUAAUGUGCUUAGUCGUUCUGUUUUUAAAUGUUCUUGUUGCACAGCAGUCAUGAUGAUACAGAGUAGAUAUGACUGUUCUAAAAUGUUGUUCAAAAAGAGGACACAAGUGUGGAUAAACAGAGAGUAAACUGCACAAAAAAAGCCU